AGGCAGAACUGGCUACGAGGAAGCUACAAGGACUCUCUGGAAUCAGAGUGUCUUGGAUUAAUAUAUGGACUUCAGUGCUUAGUUUUUGUGUUGUUAGGCAAAUUACUUUAUUUUCUUGAUGAUAACCCUAUUCCUACCUUCUAGAUUUGCUACAAGAAUAACCACUGAAGUAUAUGAAUCACCUCACACAAGACCUGGGUCACUGCAGAUUAUAGGGUUUAAGAAUGCUUUUGAUGGGACCCUACUUCAUGAAAAGUAUUUAAAUGCAUGUGGGAGCAUGUGGAAUGUAGAGAGACCUCCAGUAUCAGAUAUCCUGCAUUGUGACCCCUUUGAGAUACAACAUACCUAUGGAAGCCAAAGGACAAAGAGAACAAACUUCUAUGGCCUAUUAUGUACCAGGAGUGAUGCCACGCCCUUUAAAUGGAUUGAAAUUGAAAUUUGAAUUAAGUCUCCUGUCCAUGGUGACACAACUAGGAAGGUUAGAUCUCACCACCUAUAAAAUCUGUGAGUUGAUGUAAGUAGUUACUCUUAGUCCCCCAACUACCUGACCUGUAGCAACUGCAACCUGUUCUAAGAUGGUAGACUUGAAGCUUCCUGUGAGGAAAAACCAGGUAUGACUGCUCUGUGGAUUGAUUUCUCUUUACUUGUCCUGUAUCAUAUAGAUAGGACUCUUUGCU
rnacentral:lncRNA from 1 species